AAACCGGAGCUAAUACCGGAUAAUAUUUUGAACCGCAUGGUUCAAAAGUGAAAGACGGUCUUGCUGUCACUUAUAGAUGGAUCCGCGCUGCAUUAGCUAGUUGGUAAGGUAACGGCUUACCAAGGCAACGAUGCAUAGCCGACCUGAGAGGGUGAUCGGCCACACUGGAACUGAGACACGGUCCAGACUCCUACGGGAGGCAGCAGUAGGGAAUCUUCCGCAAUGGGCGAAAGCCUGACGGAGCAACGCCGCGUGAGUGAUGAAGGUCUUCGGAUCGUAAAACUCUGUUAUUAGGGAAGAACAUAUGUGUAAGUAACUGUGCACAUCUUGACGGUACCUAAUCAGAAAGCCACGGCUAACUACGUGCCAGCAGCCGCGGUAAUACGUAGGUGGCAAGCGUUAUCCGGAAUUAUUGGGCGUAAAGCGCGCGUAGGCGGUUUUUUAAGUCUGAUGUGAAAGCCCACGGCUCAACCGUGGAGGGUCAUUGGAAACUGGAAAACUUGAGUGCAGAAGAGGAAAGUGGAAUUCCAUGUGUAGCGGUGAAAUGCGCAGAGAUAUGGAGGAACACCAGUGGCGAAGGCGACUUUCUGGUCUGUAACUGACGCUGAUGUGCGAAAGCGUGGGGAUCAAACAGGAUUAGAUACCCUGGUAGUCCACGCCGUAAACGAUGAGUGCUAAGUGUUAGGGGGUUUCCGCCCCUUAGUGCUGCAGCUAACGCAUUAAGCACUCCGCCUGGGGAGUACGACCGCAAGGUUGAAACUCAAAGGAAUUGACGGGGACCCGCACAAGCGGUGGAGCAUGUGGUUUAAUUCGAAGCAACGCGAAGAACCUUACCAAAUCUUGACAUCCUUUGACAACUCUAGAGAUAGAGCCUUCCCCUUCGGGGGACAAAGUGACAGGUGGUGCAUGGUUGUCGUCAGCUCGUGUCGUGAGAUGUUGGGUUAAGUCCCGCAACGAGCGCAACCCUUAAGCUUAGUUGCCAUCAUUAAGUUGGGCACUCUAAGUUGACUGCCGGUGACAAACCGGAGGAAGGUGGGGAUGACGUCAAAUCAUCAUGCCCCUUAUGAUUUGGGCUACACACGUGCUACAAUGGACAAUACAAAGGGCAGCGAAACCGCGAGGUCAAGCAAAUCCCAUAAAGUUGUUCUCAGUUCGGAUUGUAGUCUGCAACUCGACUACAUGAAGCUGGAAUCGCUAGUAAUCGUAGAUCAGCAUGCUACGGUGAAUACGUUCCCGGGUCUUGUACACACCGCCCGUCACACCACGAGAGUUUGUAACACCCGAAGCCGGUGGAGUAACCUUUUAGGAGCUAGCCGUCGAAGGUGGGACAAAUGAUUGGGGUGAAGUCGUAACAAGGUAGCCGUAUCGGAAGGUGCGGCU
rnacentral:rRNA from 1 species